rnacentral:rRNA from 1 species
GCGCAGCAGGCGCGAAUCAUCCGCAAUGCGCGCAAGCGUGACGGUGCGACGCCGCGUGCGGGAGGAAGCCCCUCGGGGUGUAAACCGCUUUUCAGGGGUAUGAAGCGGCUUCGGUGAAUAGCCGGAGUCGUUGACGUCAACCCUGGAAUAAGCCCCUGCUAACUUCGUGCCAGCAGCCGCGGUAAUACGGAGGGGGCAAGCGUUGCUCGGAAUCACUGGGCUUAGAGCGGGCGUAGGCGGUCCGGUCAGUCGGAUGUGAAAUACCUCGGCUUAACCGAGGAAGGGCGUCCGAUACUGCCGGGCUUGAGGCAUCCAGGGGCGACUGGAACUCUCGGUGGAGCGGUGAAAUGCGUAGAUAUCGAGAGGAACGCC